rnacentral:lncRNA from 1 species
GGGGAGGCUCCCGCCCCCGGACCCCCGGCUCGGCGGGUCUGAGACCCCGGCGCGCCAGGGGGCUGGAAGAGCCAGGGCCGAGGCCGGCUGCGUCGCGGAGCGCGGGGCCGCAGAACCCCAUCGAUUCGCCUCGGCUCCCUGGCUGGCCCGGGCCGCUGUCCUUGACCUGAGGUGGCUGUUACUGCGUGGUACUUCCAACCAACCUCGUGAGCCAGGCGCCCCAGAAUUGCAGUCAUUUGCCUGGUUGUGUGCAAGGAAGGAAACCCAAAAUAUUACCUACAAGGGAGGAGACAAGAUUGCUCCAAUCCCCAGCGUCAGUUGGAGGCAGCACUAACCUUCAC